CUGUUACUUCACAGCUGUACAACUGUAUCAUUUGCUAUUGAUGUAUUUGUCUGUAAACCUUUUUAUCAGCAUGUUUUUUUUCAGAAUAUAGCAUAUAUAACCUAUAUAUAUAUAUAAUAAGUACGUUUAAACAAGUGACAACUCUAUAACAGAUCCAUCCGUUGGAUCAUUAGUGAAGGUGAUACACAGCUGAAAACACAUACUGAAUUCAUAAUUACUCUAAAUAUCAAGACAACAAUGUUAAAUCUGCAAAUGUUUGGAAGCAAAUUUGUGUUCUUCCCCUGUUGGGAUUCGAACUCGUGCUAUUGGGAUAUCGAGACAACACUGCCAUCACUGUAUCUAGCGCUCUAGACUACUCAGCCAUAUAUAUAUACAUAUUAUAGACAAACAGCAAUCUAUGGUGGUAUUUUAUUUUAACCUUGAUGAUUUGUGCAUCCUAGGCGAAAUGGAUUUAAAUCCAAAACAUCAGAUUGUUUUUGUUCAGUAAAAUGAAGAUAGAAAUUGAAAAUAAGAAACAGACCAACUAUACCAACAAUAAAUUCUGUGGCUUUGUGGUGAUUACUGAUCAUUUUGUCUAGUUUACUUCUGUAUCCUCAGACAAUACUAUUCCAAUGUUUAUCUUGAACAAUAAUUUAUUGGCAUUAAAUCUUUUUAUUGAAGAUUUAUAUAUGCAAUAUAUAUAUGCAAAGGAGAAAUGGUGGAGCGGUGAAUAAUUAAUUUGAAUUUUCAUUUUGGACAUUGACAAUAUUCACAUUAAAAUGUGCUAUUACAGGUACAAAGUCCUUUUAUAUCCCAAA
rnacentral:lncRNA from 1 species